rnacentral:rRNA from 1 species
CCUACGGGAGGCAGCAGUGGGGAAUAUUGCACAAUGGGGGAAACUCUGAUCCAGCGACGUCGCGUGAAGGAUGAAGUCCCUCGGGAUUUUAACCUCCAUUUGCAGGGAAGUAAAUGACGGCACGUGAGUCAGAUGCUCUGGCUAACUACGUGACAGCAGCCGCGGCAAUACGUAGGGGGCAAGCGUUAUCCGGAUUUACUGGGUGUAAAGGGAGCGUAGGCGGGGAUGCAAGUCAGAAGUGAAAGCCCGGGGCUCAACUCCGGGACUGCUUUUGAAACUGGAUGGCUAGAGUGCAGGAGGGGCAGGUGGAAUUCCUGGUGUAGCGGUGAAAUGCGUAGAUAUUAGGAAGAACACCGGUGGCGAAGGCAGCUUGCUGGACUGUAAAUGACGCUGAGGCUCGAAAGUGUGGGGAGCAAACAGGAUUAGAUACCCCGGUAGUC